CUACGGGAGGCUGCAGUGGGGAAUAUUGCACAAUGGACGAAAGUCUGAUGCAGCAACGCCGCGUGGAGAAUGACACACUUCGGUGCGUAAACUCCUUUUAUAUAAGAAGAUAAUGACGGUAUUAUAUGAAUAAGCACCGGCUAACUCCGUGCCAGCAGCCGCGGUAAUACGGAGGGUGCAAGCGUUACUCGGAAUCACUGGGCGUAAAGAGCGUGUAGGCGGAUAGAUAAGUUGGAAGUGAAAUCCUAUGGCUCAACCAUAGAACUGCUUCCAAAACUGUCUAUCUAGAAUAUGGGAGAGGUAGAUGGAAUUUCUGGUGUAGGGGUAAAAUCCGUAGAGAUCAGAAGGAAUACCGAUUGCGAAGGCGAUCUACUGGAACAUUAUUGACGCUGAGACGCGAAAGCGUGGGGAGCAAACAGGAUUAGAUACCCCCGUAGUC
rnacentral:rRNA from 1 species